GACGAACGCUGGCGGCGUGCCUAAUACAUGCAAGUAGAACGCUGAAGGAGGAGCUUGCUUCUCUGGAUGAGUUGCGAGCGGGUGAGUAACGCGUAGGUAACCUGCCUGGUAGCGGGGGAUAACUAUUGGAAACGAUAGCUAAUACCGCAUAAGAGUAGAUGUUGCAUGACAUUUGCUUAAAAGGUGCAAUUGCAUCACUACCAGAUGGACCUGCGUUGUAUUAGCUAGUUGGUGAGGUAACGGCUCACCAAGGCGACGAUACAUAGCCGACCUGAGAGGGUGAUCGGCCACACUGGGACUGAGACACGGCCCAGACUCCUACGGGAGGCAGCAGUAGGGAAUCUUCGGCAAUGGACGGAAGUCUGACCGAGCAACGCCGCGUGAGUGAAGAAGGUUUUCGGAUCGUAAAGCUCUGUUGUAAGAGAAGAAACGAGUGUGAGAAGUGGA
rnacentral:rRNA from 1 species